AACAGACUCAUCUACUCCCAGGAAAUCACAGAAUGAGAGAGAGCCACAAUCUUGUGGGAUUUUCUUCAGAAGCUCCAUCACAUCUCUGCUCUCUGCUUUGGAAGCUGAAAUUUCUCCUUUCACAGAAAUUCUUCAGCAGGAGUCCUGCCUGCAGACUCCUCGCUCAGGAAGCUCCAGGAGCCAUCUGGGACUAGUCUGCAAGGCUCAGCUGAUGUGUUACUGUGUAUCCAGAUGUACUUCAGGACCAAAAAGUGACCCCUGUGUUUGCCCAAAAUCACACCCAUGGACAACAGCAAAGCACCAGCCAAAGUGGGUCAACCCAUCUUAUUUGGGGCUGAAGGUUUCCAUCUCCAGCAGUGUCUUCUGAGCAAUUGAAAACUCCAACCAAGGAAUUCCGAGGGGAGAAGACUACUGAAAGAUGCCUGUGGGUCAUCCUGCAAAUCCUCUGACCUCGGGAAGGGAGCAGGAAUCUGAGUGAUCCCAAAAAUUGUCUGGGGAGGUAAAGAAUCACAGAAACACAGAAUCACAAAAUGGUUAGUGUUGGAAGGGACCUCUGGAGAUCAUCUAACCCAACACCCAACAGGCUGAAAUGACCCUGAUGGUGACGCAGAGCUGUGGGUGCCACGCAUUGCUCAGACUCUGCAGGACCAGACCUACAGCUGCUGCACUAAAUUUCAAUGUCUUCUCUUCAGAUGAUGAUGUCUGUGGACUUUCCUAUUUUUCUUGCCAAUCUAAUGUCAUAUUUCCUUCAAAUAAAACUCGGUGUGUGAGAACUCA